UUUUAUGCUAAAAAUAUUGAAGGUUGUUCAUGAUAUCUAUAAACUUAUGGAACUAUCUUUGGAACAUUAUGAGGUGAGCAUGAUACCAAAGAUUGUUGAUUGCAGUCAGAAUCAUGGAAUUAAUUAGGUAUGUGUGAUAUUUGUAAUUGUUGUCAAUAAAGUAUAAUUAGUUAUCAUGAUCAAGACCUAUCGAUCUAAUUGACAUAUUGGUGGAACUUAGGCUUACAUUAUUGGUGGAGAUGGAAUUGAGAGAGGUGCAUAUGUU
rnacentral:lncRNA from 1 species